AGACAUGUAUUAACAUAGUACCUCAUGGUUUACCUCAGAGCAGUCCAAGCAAUAAUUUACUUUUAACCUACAGUGCCUACCUUGUGAGAAAUAAUUGGAGGAGAUAGUCUUUUGAGGAGCUAUGUGACUGUAGAAGAGCAAUUUCAUGAACUAGCCCUUCAGUUAUGGCUGAGAAAUCUUGUAUGCAGUCCCCAGUGACAGCCCAGAAUAAAACUGAGAGGGGGGAAGAGAUGAAAUCAUUAGAAGGACAUCAGUCUGUUG